UUAUAGCUACCACUGAAAAUCCAACAUUACCACAUUUACUAACUCUUUCAUGAUUCCAUUUUGAUAACUAUUGAGUAUCAAAUAGUGAUGAGAUUUGGUGAUGAUGAGAAAAGAAAGUGUGUGACUAAAACUGUCAAAUUUGUCAAAUGACUAAGAAUUUUGAUGCACUAUGGAUAUCAAAAUGAAAUUUCAAAGUAGAUGAUAUUGGUAAGGUUAAAUCAACUAGAAAACUAAG
rnacentral:misc_RNA from 1 species